rnacentral:rRNA from 1 species
UACGUAGGGUCCGAGCGUUGUCCGGAAUUAUUGGGCGUAAAGAGCUCGUAGGCGGUCUGUCGCGUCGGCUGUGAAAACACAGGCUCAACUCCGUGCCUGCAGUCGAUACGGGCAGACUAGAGUUCGGUAGGGAGACUGGAAUUCCUGGUGUAGCGGUGAAAUGCGCAGAUAUCAGGAGGAACACCGGUGGCGAAGGCGGGUCUCUGGGCCUUACCUGACGCUGGAGGCGCGAAAGCUAGGGGAGCGAACAGG